GCCCGGACGAUUGAUUUUAGAACCAAAUUUGGGAUAGGCACAAUCUAAAUUACUUUGGUUAUGGUGUCAAAUUUAUGUUUAUGCAUCAAUAAGUCAUCUAUUUUUUUUCUUGUUGCAAUUAAGAAUCGUUUUGUUGUAUAGUAAGGCGCUUAAAUUUUCAUUUCCCCGAGGAAAAAGUUUCGUUUGUGAAAAUUUGUUCAUUUUCAAAAAUGAAUCAGAGCUUUUCUGAAAAAGAAUCCUAUUUGCCUAGAUUUUUCAAAUCUGGUCCAAGCAAAAAGCCUGAGCUGAAAAUGAUUUGUCUAUCGUUGAGACUAAUGUUUUCUGGCCCGUUUUCAAGUAAAAUAUUUGAUUAAAAAAUGGUUGUUCGCAGCGAUGGAAUUUCCUUCGAUUGAUAACUCACUUUCGCCACUCCAUUUUGAUUGCGUAAGUUUAGCUAUUGCGAUAGUUUCUCUGUCUGCACUGGGAGGUCUUUGCAUUAUAUAAACAGUCGUAUCGAUAGCGAGGAAACCCAAUUUCCAAAAAAUUUUAGAAAUCGCAUAUCGGCGCUCAGAACUAAUAAUAAGCUAAUAAAUCUAUAUAAACAAGUUUUCUUCCCAAAAAAAAAGGCGAAAAACAGAGAAAACUGCAUAGAAACAGGAUGAUGCGGCUAAAUCGACUCUGCUGUUGCAUGGAUGCUUCCGCAUGUGGCCAAAAUUAUGCAUGACAGACUGUAAGGGGGCAUAGAGGAAAAUAAUAUUGUUAUUUAAUUGGAUAAUUUACAAUGUUAGAUCUCUAAUAACUAGUUUAUCCAUGA